rnacentral:rRNA from 1 species
UACGUAGGUGGCGAGCGUUGUCCGGAUUUACUGGGCGUAAAGAGCGCGCAGGCGGUCGUACAAGUCGCGUGUGAAAGCCCCCGGCUCAACUGGGGAGGGUCACGCGAUACUGUUCGACUCGAAGGCAGGAGAGGGAAGCGGAAUUCCAGGUGUAGCGGUGAAAUGCGUAGAUAUCUGGAGGAACACCGGUGGCGAAGGCGGCAUCCUGGACCGACACUGACGCUGAGGAGCGAAAGCCAGGGGAGCAAACGGG